UGAUGUGCUACGUUAGUGUAUUCUUACGCGUCUAACCUUUGGGAUGUCACCAUCUUUAAUUUGGAGGACGUUUUAUUAAGAAUGGUGAUUUUAAUUACACUGUGAUUAAUCUAUGUAAAAUCGGGAAAUAAUUUCAGAAGUAAAAGUUAAUAAAUGUUGCCGAAAUGCCAUUGUCUAUUUUCUGUCUGGUUUCAGGAAUUUACCUUCAAGGGGAGUUUUCGUCCAAGGUGUCCAUAUUACGAUUAGAUGACUGUGGCCACUAGAUUUAUUACUUUGUAAUUGUGUUCGCGGGUCGUGGGGAGCGCCACUGUGUCAAUCCUCGUGGAUUUCCCAAGAUCCGUGAUCACAGUUACUGCUUCCUCGUCACGCCAGUCCCAGAACGCAUGCGCUUAGCGCAUGGUAGUUUUUCUUAACCUCGUCCGCCUAGUCUAGGACUUUUUGCCACACUCCUGGUGUUUUGAAUAAUAUUGAUGCAAAACUUUUAAUAUCAAUAAAGAACAAGAUAAUAAAAAAAAAGACAAACAGUCGAUCGGUUUGCUA